rnacentral:misc_RNA from 1 species
GCUGAAGAACGUAGCGAAAUGCGAUACGUAAUGUGAAUUGCAGAAUUCAGUGAAUCAUCGAAUCUUUGAACGCAUAUUGCGCUCUCUGGUAUUCCGGAGAGCAUGCUUGUUUGAGUAUCAGUAAACACCUCAACUCCCUUUUCUUUUUUGAAAUUGGAGCUGGACUUGAGUGAUCCCAACGCUUUCUUCCAAGAAAGUGGCGGGUUGCUUGAAAUGCAGGUGCAGCUGAACUUUUCUCUGAGCUAUAAGCAUAUCUAUUUAGUCUGCCUAAAAAACAGAUUAUUACCUUUGCUGCAGCUAACAUAAAGGAGACUAGUUCUUGUGCUGACUGAUGCAGGAUUCACAGAGACAGCUUCGGCUGACUUUGUAAACUCGAUCUCAAAUCAAGUAAGACUACCCGCUGAACUUAAGCAUAUCAAUAAGCGGAGGA